rnacentral:rRNA from 2 species
GCAACGCCGCGUGAGUGAAGAAGGCUUUCGGGUCGUAAAACUCUGUUGUUGGAGAAGAAUGGUCGGCAGAGUAGCUGUUGUCGGCGUGACGGUAUCCAACCAGAAAGCCACGGCUAACUACGUGCCAGCAGCCGCGGUAAUACGUAGGUGGCAAGCGUUAUCCGGAUUUAUUGGGCGUAAAGCGAGCGCAGGCGGUUUUUUAAGUCUGAUGUGAAAGCCCUCGGCUUAACCGAGGAAGUGCAUCGGAAACUGGGAAACUUGAGUGCAGAAGAGGACAGUGGAACUCCAUGUGUAGCGGUGAAAUGCGUAGAUAUAUGGAAGAACACCAGUGGCGAAGGCGGCUGUCUGGUCUGUAACUGACGCUGAGGCUCGAAAGCAUGGGUAGCGAACAGGAUUAGAUACCCUGGUAGUCCAUGCCGUAAACGAUGAAUGCUAGGUGUUGGAGGGUUUCCGCCCUUCAGUGCCGCAGCUAACGCAUUAAGCAUUCCGCCUGGGGAUUACGACCGCAAGGUUGAAACUCAAAGGAAUUGACGGGGGCCCGCACAAGCGGUGGAGCAUGUGGUUUAAUUCGAAGCAACGCGAAGAACCUUACCAGGUCUUGACAUCUUUUGAUCACCUGA